rnacentral:rRNA from 1 species
UGGGCUUAAGGGCGCGUAGACGGGCGGUCAAGUCGGGGGUGAAAUCUUUCAGCUCAACUGGAAAAGUGCCUUCGAUACUGACUGUCUUGAGUGAGGUAGGGGCAUGUGGAACUUCCGGUGGAGCGGUGAAAUGCGUAGAUAUCGGAAGGAACGCCGGUGGCGAAAGCGACGUGUUGGACCUCUUCUGACGCUGAGGCGCGAAAGCUAGGGGAGCAAACGGGAUUAGAUACCCCGGUAGUCCUAGCCCUAAACGAUGGGUACUAGAUUGUGGACUUAACAUGGGUUCACAGUCGAAGCAAAAGUGUUAAGUACCCCGCCUGGGGAGUAUGGUCGCAAAGCUGAAACUCAAAGGAAUUGACGGGGGCUCACACAAGCGGUGGAGCAUGUGGCUUAAUUCGAGGCUACGCGAAGAACCUUAUCCUAGGCUUGACAUGUGCGAAAGCGGUAGGAAGUAGCUUGCGGAAACGUUAGGCGAACGGUAUCCAGUCCGGAACCUACUACAGGUGCUGCAUGGCUGUCGUCAGCUCGUGUCGUGAGAUGUCGGGUUAAGUCCCAUAACGAGCGAAACCCUUGUCUCCAGUUGCCAGCGGGUCAUGCCGGGGACUCUGGAGAGACUGCCGGUGUUAAA